GCCGGGCGCGGUGGUGCACACCUGUAAUCCCAGCAGCUCCGGAGGCUGAGGCAGGAGGAUUGCAGGUUCAAAGCCAGCCUCAGCAACUUAAGGAGACCCUAAGCAACCUAGCAAGACCCUGUCUCUA
rnacentral:sRNA from 1 species